AAUGGAGUGCUCGAACGGAGAAUUUAGCAGAGUUUUGAGAUAAAAAAGAUGAGAGCUUAGAGAAUAACGUAUCUGGGUCUCCCUUUUUAUAGGUGGAGGAGGUAACGGAUUGAUGGCGACGUCUGUAACCGCCUGUCAGUGCACCGUUCGGGGUCAGGAGGGGUCUGUUAUGAGGAGUAGCGGAGCAAAACCGUGGCCAUUACUAUGGCCUGCCACGUGGAGCCUGUUGUAGGUAGUGGAGCG
rnacentral:lncRNA from 1 species